rnacentral:rRNA from 1 species
AUGUUUGGUGAGAGACCCAUAGAGCCACCAGCUCCCCUUUUUUUACCUAGCACGAGAAUGCUUAGAGUCCUGGAUCUACAUGGUGCACAUUUCGGAAUCACAAAGAAAGAUAUCAAGGACAUAGGAUUGUUCCGCCACUUGAAGUAUUUGAAUAUUGGAAGUGCUAAAGCAUAUUCAAAUGUUUAUAGAAUUCCAAGAUCUAUAGGAAAAUUAAAAGGUUUACAGACUUUGGAGAUAAGAAUGACAGAUAUAUCAACAAUACCAAAUGAGAUUUGUAACCUUCAGAGUCUCCGUAGCAUCCGGUGUAAGAAAACACAUUGGUCCUAUCUUGGUCUUCAGCCCUCUAUGGGGUGCUUGAUGGACAUGAUGUAUCAUCAGAUGAUUACUCGUAAUUCUCAUGAAAAAGCUUUGAAGUCACGCAUGCCUUGCUUUAGGCAUUGGUCAAUAUACAAAGGUGUAAGUGUGCCGAGAGGGAUUAGCAAGUUACAAGAGUUACAAACACUAGAGGUUGUGGACAUCAAACGGAGUGAUGCCAAUGCAAUUAAAGAGCUUGGUGAGCUUGUGCAGCUAAAAAAACUUGGGGUGGUAACGAAAGAGGCCACCGAGCAGAAAUGCAAGUUACUUUGUGCAGCUAUCGAGAAGCUCACUUCCCUGUACUCUCUUAAUGUGGAUGCGGACUAUCAUGGCUCUCUGGAGUGGCUGCAUUCUGUUUCUUCUCCUCCCCUACCCAUGAGGAGUCUCAAGCUGGUUGGGCGUCUUGGAGAAAUGCCAGACUGGAUUGGAAGUUUGACACAUUUAGUGAAGAUUUAUCUAGGGCAUAGCGAGCUGAAAGGUGAUAAAACCAUGGAACUACUAGGCACACUGCCCAAACUUAUGCUCCUUGGUCUUCGUCAGAAUGCAUAUGUUGGGAAGAGUCUAGUCUUUGGAGCAAGAGCAUUCCCAAAUCUCAGGGAACUAGAUAUUUUUUACCCGGAUCGAGUGAGAGAGGUGAUAUUCGAAGAGGACACCUCGUACCAGUUGGCAAAGAUACAAUUCCGUGGCGGCCGAUGUGUGGAAUUUAUUGGCAUCAAACAUCUCCCAAGGGUCAAGGAGAUUUCACUUGGUUUGGGGGCUAGAGUGGCGAAGCUUGGUGACCUGCAAGGGGAAGUGGAGGCACACCCCAACCAUCCCGUGCUGCGACUAGUGGAGGACUGGAGCAUGCAUAACAUCGACCCCUCUGAACAUGAAGCGCUGGAGGAAGAAUUGGCUAAUUUUCGGAGGCAGCAUCAGCAGGAGAGAUCCACUAAUAAUCGCAAGUGGUGGCCAUGGCGACAACGAGCGCAAUCAGUUUUUAUUUUCCACCACAUCCAAGGCUCCAAUGUAGAAGAUGAUGGAGAUGAUUUCUUCUCUUGCACUUCUCAUGACGAAGAUGCUUGCUGA